CACAUACAUUUAUAUAGAUACAUAUAUACGCAUAUUUACGAUUAACUUGGCGAGAGAAAGAGAAAGGAAGAGCGAGAGAAAGAGAGUGCGUACGCAGAAGUUUGACAAUUCUACGUAUAUCGUUUAUAAUUAUAAUGUCUCUUUAUUGUAUAACUGUGCAUGUGUGUGUGUGUGUACAUAUUGUGUGCGCGGGCGCGCUCCAAAUAUUCAAUUUACUCACAUGUGUGUUCAAUGAUAUCAGAAUAUCGGUACUUUGGAAUGCAAAUUUAUGAACGUUCCUUUGAUCUUGAUUGAGCUAAUGAUGAUAAGUAACGCAUAGUGAGAUCGCAAGACGCAAGGACGCAUGCUAAAAAUUGAAACUGGGGUAAUUUCGGUGAAUUGUGGUAAUUCGCGGGCCUUGAGAAGUGCGCGAAAAAUUACAUUUUUAUUAAAUAUUUAUGGAUGCCAAAUAUAUAUAUUAUUCUAAUACAUAUGUAAAUAUACAACUUAAAAUUUUUAAUAGAAAAUAAAAUUUUUAUCUAAUAUAUAAUAAUAUACAAAAUAAAUUCUCUCUACAAAAUAUCAAAAAUUUCAAAGUUAUAAUUGCGCCAUUCAAAAUUUUACUAAAAUGUUCAUAAUCCCUACAUCUAUUUUAAUCAAUUAUUAAAUAUUUAGAUUUUCCGAUAUUACACCGGUUCCGAUUCUCGAUCAUAGUUAUCUAGUCUACGGGAAACGAAUAUCGAAUAACAUUUUUCAUCUGGCAUCCGGAGGCGAGUUUGUUCCGGCGAUGCAAAAUCGUGUUCCAAAGUAUCAGUUCAUAUACGGAGACAUGUAUACACACACACGCACGGUUCGUCGUCCGAACAAUGCGGAAUAAAAUAUGGAUAGCAGCAGCGAGACAUUUCGACCAACAAAGCGACGCGUUUUCUUGUUUCCUUAAACGACGCCUCUACAUAUCACUCCGAGAAUUUAAGAUAGAAAAAGAAAAACGCGUCUCGCGCGAUCGCUUAGAGCUCGCCUCGCCAGAGCGGAAUAGCCGAAUCGGCAGAACCAAUAACUUUUUAGCGAUCGAACUUUUUCUCUUAUUGCUUUGUGUCCUGUCGUUGUUCGUGAAUAGCAACCGAGGGGAGGAAGUAACGAUUUUUUGCAAUUCGAUACUGAGAACACUCGCAGUUUUUGUCAUGUUAACGACAAUAUUUCCAAUUUUAUUUUUGUCACUUCUCGUUUUUUUUCUUUUUUAAAUUAUUUUUCGAUCUCCACUUCGAAACUCUCUUUCUCUUCUCUGCUUCCAUUUAUGUAACUUUCUAUUUUUAUCUAUCUCUUUCUCUCCCCUUCGUUCUUCGGACAAUUUACGAAAUUGUCGAUCGCGAUCGAUGAGUUUAGAAAAAUCCGGACGUUUUCUUUUUUUUGCAAGGAUACGUACGUUGAUAUCAAAUUGUCAAAAAUCAAAAUUGAUCAUUGGAUUUUAUAGUAGAUUAUUUCUUAAUCAAACUCGCGUCGCGAGUGUCCGCGAAGUUGAAACCAAAGAGUUGUACAAGGGGAGUAUUGUUGCGAUUACCCGAAUUUUAAUAGUACGUAUCAGUCUAUAUAUAAAUUAUUUACGCAAAAUGUGUUUUGACACAUAAGUUCAAAAGAAAAACGUACUCCACUCUGUACUAAUCGAUAUCUUUUACUCACGAAUAUUUUAUACGAUUACUUUAUGUCCGAAUAUUUAAGGAACAAAAUUAUUCGCGCGUUUAGUUUAUAAGUAUCACGAUUUCUCCGACAUACACAAUGGUUUUACGUAAUUCUGAUCCCUUUUUUUAAAUUUCGUUUUAGGUGACUAAUAAUAUAGAUUUCGAUGCGUAUGUAUUUUUGGCGCGUUAUGCAAUCACAGAUGAGAGAGAGAGAGAGAGAGAGAGAGAGAGAGAGAGAGAGAGAGAGAGAGGGGAGAGAGAGAGAGAGGGAGAGAGAGAAAGAGUGAAUGUUCGUUAAUUAUCAUAAUAAUCACGUUUAUUUAGGUUAAUUAUGUCGCGGCUUCGAAAGCUACUUCAACUCUUUUCGAAUUUUAUAUAAAAAUAAUAACAUACGGAUGUGUAUUUUUAAUACAUCCUGGUUCUGUAAGAAAAUAUAAGAUUUUAUAUAAAGUUUUAUUUAUUUAACAUGUUCCGAAAAAAAAAAAAAAAACGGCGCGACACGAGUCCUAGGAGAUCGUAGUCGAAUUUUUUCCGUUCUCUCUCUUUUCUCUUCUUUCUUUUUUCUUUUGAAUCAGUUUUUCUCUCUCUUUCACGUUUUUUAUUUAUUUCUUAUGCGUUAUUUAUAUUCUACAUUAUUGCUCGAACAUAAUUGAACGUCUUUUGAGUCUUUAAUCUAUCUUUUCAGUUAUGUCUUUGCUCUCGCCAAUUUUCGUCAUUUGUUAGCAUUGUUCAUUUUACGAUCAGCAAAAGAAAAACUUUAUAAUAAGUUUUUCGAUGUAGGUGAGAGCAAUAACGGAUAGCAACAGGUGUUCGCGAUAAGUGCGCGCAGAUUGAUCUCAUAAUGUAGUAAUUGCGAAAGAUAGAGAAAGAGAGUUAGAAGGGGAGACAAGAAGAGAAAAUAGAAAUACGCGUGAGGCUUGUAGAGGGAGAAAGAAAAUCGUCGUUGUAACGAGAGAAGAGCGUUGUAACGAUAACGGACAGUGGUUGCUUCAUAUCUUUUUUCAUUGUGCUUUUCUUUUGUAUUUUAAACGCGAGAAAUUCUUGUUGAAUUCUUGUGAAUGCCGCUGUAGCGAACCACACAUUGCGGUAGAUCAUAAUUUCGCGAUUCUAAGAAGAGAAAUAUGAUAGGAAAACAAAAGAGAGAGAGAGAAACAGAGAAAGAGAGAGAGAGAGAGAGAGAGAGAGAGAGAAGGAUGAAGAGAUAAAAAAAGAUGUAGAAGGAAUUGAGAUUUUUAUGUAAUAGCGAUUAAGUUGUGCGUGCCGUAUAUAGGCGAAUGCUUUUGCAGCGGGAUACGAUCAAAUAUCGAACAUGGAGAUCUCUGAUUUUCACAUAGCGAAACAUAAAAUCAUCGCAAAGCCAUCAUAACGCUUGAAAGAUGCUUCACGACGUUAUAUCUUUUAAAUAGAUUGAAAAUCUUUUGAAUUUAUUUCAGAUGUCUUAUGUAACUUCUUUUAUCAGAAAAACAGAGGGACCUCCGAUCGUGUCUCGUGUCUGAUCGUAGCUCCACUUUUAUCAAUUUCUCUGUUUCUCUCUUGGACACGCGAGGCAGAGCGUGUCGAGAUUUCGAGUCGAGUUGAUGCCUCGGUAAAGUAUAUAGUGAGAAUAUUGGAGGUGGACGCGCGGGAGCACAGGAAAAGAGAGAAAGUGACAGAGAAAGAAGCAAGAAGGCGCGCAUAGUGUGGAGUAAAACAUUUUUAAAAAAGUAAAAAAAAAAAAAUAAAUUUUUAU